GCGUUGUCCGGAUUUAUUGGGUUUAAAGGGUGCGUAGGCUGGGAGGUAAGUCAGCGGUGAAAAGCACACGCUUAACGGGUGUCUUGCCGCAGAUACUGCAGGGCUUGAGUAGAGUCGAGGUAGGCGGAAUUGACGGUGUAGCGGUGAAAUGCUUAGAUAUCGUCAAGAACACCGAUAGUGUAGACAGCUUACUAGACUCAAACUGACGCUGAGGCACGAAAGUGUGGGGAUCAAACAGG
rnacentral:rRNA from 1 species